rnacentral:rRNA from 1 species
AUGAACGCUGGCGGCGUGCCUAAUACAUGCAAGUCGAGCGAACAGAUGAGGAGCUUGCUCCUCUGACGUUAGCGGCGGACGGGUGAGUAACACGUGGAUAACCUACCUAUAAGACUGGGAUAACUUCGGGAAACCGGAGCUAAUACCGGAUAAUAUAUUGAACCGCAUGGUUCAAUAGUGAAAGACGGUUUUGCUGUCACUUAUAGAUGGAUCCGCGCCGCAUUAGCUAGUUGGUAAGGUAACGGCUUACCAAGGCAACGAUGCGUAGCCGACCUGAGAGGGGGAUCGGCCACACUGGAACUGAGACACGGUCCAGACUCCUACGGGAGGCAGCAGUAGGGAAUCUUCCGCAGUGGGCGAAAGCCUGACGGAGCAACGCCGCGUGAGUGAUGAAGGUCUUCGGAUCGUAAAACUCUGUUAUUAGGGAAGAACAAAUGUGUAAGUAACUAUGCACGUCUUGACGGUACCUAAUCAGAAAGCCACGGCUAACUACGU